rfam:Glycine max cultivar Williams 82 chromosome 9, whole genome shotgun sequence.
UGAGUGCUUUUGAGCUAAGGAUGACUUGCCGGUAUAUAAGUAUGGGUAUUGCCAGCAAGACAUCCUUUCUCACUUGUGUUCU